CCACCAAGCAACUGUCUGGACAUGGGGACUUACGAGGAGCUAGGAUGAAAGGCCUCCUUGUUGCUUAGCCUUGGCAGGGCUCUUCUGGAAGCCAGGCUCUCUCCUAGUCUGAGAAGGCAAGCUUUUUGCUGGAUUACAAAGUCUUCUCUGGUCGUGGCCACGGUCUGUCUACCCCACUCAGCGCCCGCCCUGUGUCCACACAUGCUUGUCAGACUGGACUGAGGAAGCCCACAACUGGGCCUCUCAGUUUCCGGGUCCAAUCUAAGCUACCAGACCAGCUCUGCCAAACCAGAGGCCCAGAUGGGAUCUGCCACUCCAGCCACUGUGAGCAGCUUUGGUUUCAGCCCAAAUGCCAGGACUCGAGAAGUGUCGACAAGGUUGAGGGCUCUAACUUGGAUACACUUUCUUCCAGACAGAAGUUGCUUCUGCCUCUACUGGUCACCAGAGGGCGCCACUAACCAGGGACUGUGGCUUGGCUUCCUACCCUCUCUGCUGGUAAAGUGUUUUAACAGCUGUGCUGCUGCCCCUAAGGCAACCCCUCCUCUCCCAGAGGUUAGCAGCUCAUUUUUCUUGGAAUCUUCUCCUAAAGUUAGUGGGAGCAAGGAUAACUCAAAGGGUGUGUCCUCUGCACUGUUUUGCAGUGAGAGGUCAUCUCAGAUCACCUAGUCUGCAGUGAUGCUCAAAGCUGAAGGGGCUGAGCCUCACAACAUAGUACACACUCAAAGCUGGACUAAUGGAUGCCCAGUCGAGCAAAACAUAAUUUCCAGGUAGUCAUCGUGCUUCCUGUUUGUACUUUUGGAUUUUUGGUUUCUAUUGUUUGGCUUUAUUCACUCAAAUUUUUGGCUGCUUGCUUGAACUCAUCCUACUCUCAGAUUCAUAUGUCCCAGUGAAAGUGAUUCACAUUAGAGUCUCAGCCACUCUUUUUCUGAGUUACAGUAUUUACACUUCUGUUUUUCAUCACUGUUUUUACACUUCACUGAACCUCUUUUAACCUUCCCCUCAUUUUUGUGAGUUGGGGCUAUAAUGCCAUGCAGAGCUGAUAGUCCCACAGGCCCAGGGUAAACCUGCAACCAACCCUACCAGAUUCCCUCAUCUCUGGAAUUUGAGUCUUGAGCCAAGGGACAAAAAGAGUGUAACAGCUGGAGCUGCCACGCUAGGCCAACAGCAGGUUCUUUGGCUCCACUGCCACAUCAGGAGCUCUUCCCUGUCCUGUCCUCCCUGAGAGUUGGAGCUUCUAUGUUCUAUCUCAAAUCCCACCAGCACAUUUCUUUUCUGCAUGCUAGUCAGAGACAGUUUGUGUUGCUUCUGACCAAAAAAACCCUUACUGAUCCACGGGUCUUGUGCUUGG
rnacentral:lncRNA from 1 species